CCAACGGCCCUCCUUAGGGCCACAAUCCCACAUAGAACUCAUCCU
rfam:Steinernema glaseri strain NC unplaced genomic scaffold GLAS_5798, whole genome shotgun sequence.